UCCAGCCCUCCCAGCAUCUCCGGGGCCUCCUCCGGCCCCGCUCCGACAGCUCCGUGUCCUUCUUGUGCUGAGGGCUCCCAGAGCUGGACGCAGGGCUCCAGGUGGGGUCUCACAGAGCAGAGCAGAGGGGCAGAAUCCCCCCCUCGCCCCCCUGCCCACGCUUCUUUUGAGGCAGACCAGGCUGCGGGGGGUUCUGGGCUGCCAGCGCACGUUGCUGUUGAGCUUCUCGUCCAGCAGCGCCCCCGGGUCCUUCUCCUCAGGGCUGCUCUCCAGCUAUUCUCCGCCCAACCUGUGUUUGUGCUGGGAUUGCUGUGACCCAGGUGCAGGACCUUGCACUUGGCCUGGUUGAACCUCGUGAGGUUGGCACGGACCCACCUCUCCAGCCUGCCCAGGUCCCUCUGGAUGGCAUCCCUUCCCUGCGGCGUGUCGACCGUGCCACACAGCUUGGUGUCGUCGGCAAACUUGCUGAGGGUGCACUCGAUCCCACUGUCCAUGUCUCCGACAAAGAUGUUAAACAACGCUGGUCCCAGUACCGACCUCUGAGGAACGCCACUCGCUCCUGGUUUCCACUUGGGACAUUGAGCUGUUGACCGCAGGCCUUUGAGCGCAGCCAUCCAGCCAGUUCCUUAUCCACCCAGUGGUCUGUCCAUCAAAUCCGUGCCUUUCCAGUUCAGAGACCGGGAUGUCGUGCGGGACAGUGUCAAACGCUUUGCAGAAGCCCAGGUAGAUGACUUCUGCACGGAGAAAGGCUGGUAUGUGUCCCGUGGGGGUGAGCAUCUGGGAGGCGGAUCUCAUGAGGGACGUGGGGUGGCAGCUCUCUGUCUGCGGGAGAAGGGGAGCGUGGAGAGAACAUGGGGCGUGAGGAGACACGGCAAAAGGAGAGAGGAAGAAACGCACCGAGAGCGUGGGAGGAGACCACAGAAGAGGAUGGUGGAAACGGGGUGGACCUGGCAAAGGAGGACGGGGAUGAGGGGAGACGAAGGACUCGGGGAAGUGCCCAGUGAAGGGGGCAUGGGGGCAGAAAUGGAAGCGGUGGGCUGGUGGGCAGCAGAGCCCACAAGUGCCCCUUUUUCUUUGACCACAGCCUUUGCCACGUGGGGUUGGUGGUUUUUUUUAGGUUGGUGCGGUUUGGGGUGGUUUGUUGGUAUUGUCAGUGUGGCUGAGUCAUGAGUGAGUGACACCAGCCUGGUCCACCCCUGCCCCCUUCCCACUGGAGGCUGGACUCCUUCCCUGCUCCGUUCCCAGGGAUGGUUCAGCUGGGAGAAGCCGUUCCCCUGUUGUCCCUCUCCACAGCUGGGGAAAAUACGCUGCUAAAUCCCCCUCAGUACAUCCCUUCAUUUUCAUAUUGCGUGCGUACUUCCUCAUUUCAAUUAAUUAUUAUGGAGUAGGAUAAUUAGAAGCUUCUGGUCAUUGUCUCCGGAUGUUUUGCCGGUGUCUUGCAGCAGAGCUGUUUCUUGCCUUCCUGAGGGAGAUGCCGUAUUUUUUAUAUUUCUGGUAAUCUUUGCGGAGCGGCUGCGGUUCGUGUCGCGGAUCUUAACAGAAGGGCAGAGCUGACGCCGCUGAACUUACCCUGACAGCUUCACCUUGUUCCAAGCAUCCAGAAGACCUCGCGAAAUGGUGUUGCCUUGGGCUGGAUCUUGUUCCUUUCAGUUUGCUUACGAGGGCAGCCCGUGUGGCAGCGACAGAGACCUCACUGAAGCGGUGAUUUAUCACAGCCGCGUCUUCCCUCUCGAUUUCUUGCCAGAGGAGAAAUUAGACCGGGAGUUUUGGCCCACGUGUCCAAGAGGGCACACGAAGCUGUCUGAGGGAGUUACACGCGUGUCAGAAACUGCUCAAAAAGACAUUUCUCUCCGAGCGCGCCUGUUUUAUCAGCACGCCUGGCCUUCGCAGAGCUGCCCACGUCUCGUACCGGUGCAGGAGGGUGCUUCUUGGUUUCCUGAAGGCAGCAAAAUAUUCUCCUUUCUUCACGUCUCUUCUGAGGGCGCAGGGAAAGGAGCACAGCCCACCGCAACCUCCCACUGCCCUUUGCUCCUUGAAGACCGAAGCCCCAGCCAGGCACCCUGGGCAGACAGAAGUCUCCUCCGAGCGAGCGUGGUGGUUUGAAGCACCAAGCCCAGAGUCUACGCCUCUCAGAGCCGCCCACGGUGGCGCGGCGCAGCAGAGGGCCCAAAGGGCCACGCGCAACCGCAAGAUCUGGUGAGGACCCAAGAACUGGAGACGGACAAAGAACUUGGAUCCGUCUGCUAACAUGAAGUCAUCUCAUCGCCUGAUUGCAAAGCCAGGGAGCUGGGAGAGCAUUUGAAUGGCUGCUGCUGCUGCCGCAGUGAUAAAUUAGAUAGCUUUGAGAGCACUUUAGAGCUGGGCGGAAAAUUCAGUUGCUCUCCUGCCAAUUUCCUCCUGUAAGUGGAAUUAACGCUUGCUUUCGCUGCACUCUCCAGCCACGAGCAAGCGUCCCUUGUGCACCGUCUCCGAGGGAUUUUGCUCCCUGGGAACUGUGCGUAUCUGGACCAGCGGAAAGCAGGCGGAGGAGAGCCCUCGCUGCACGCACAGCGCCGAGGGGAGCACCGCAGGAACAGGAGCCCAUUUUGGCCCUCGCGCCUCAGACAACUUGGACCUGGGUCUGAAAAGCGAGGUUUGACACCACCUGCGAGGCAGCGGGUCGCGUUUGGUUUUUUUUUCCUAGGAGGUGGGUGAAGAGAAGCUGCCCGGGAAGGAGGUUCGGAAAGUUGAAGGGGAGAUGAGGCGUUGGAAGCAGCAGCCGCGCUCCAUCAGGAGAGAGGUAAGUGAGCGUUCCCCACCACGAUGGGAUUUUUAAAGCCCAAGCUGACACUUCAUGGUAAAAAUAAACCGACCACCCGAGCUCUGCCUCCAGAUGCCACAAGAUCUGGACAUGAUGAUCUUUAAGGUCCCUUCUAACCCGAACCGUUCUUCUGUGAUUCGAUUUGCUGGCUCGCAACGUGCAGGAGACCUGGUGUUGAAAAGAGGCCUCCAGCUUUGACAUCGAUGAAGCAGAGCGGCAGGAGAGCCGCCAGGGAGGCAGCGCCCACGCCAGGCAGUCCCUGACACCCUCCCUCCUCUCCCAUGCCACCCACGGGACGCUCAGGCCAGGUUUUAGAAUCAUAGAAUCUGAAUUUUGUGCCUGAAAUGAUGAAGGAGGCAGAACGAGAGAAGGGGGACAGGUCAAAAUAGCUGGGGUUCCCAGGCGUGUUUUGCAAGGAGUGAGGAGACCGUUGGCUUGAGCUGGAGCACAAGAAACACAUCCCCGUCCCGAGACUGGAAAAAGAAAGCGCAGGAAGGGACACAGAGCUGCUGAAGUAUGAGGCGCCGGUGUAGAUUUAGGAAGCUGGGUGCGCGAGUGCACGGCCUGUCCCUCUGUCCGGGGGAUGUGCCGUUCCUUGCAAGAUGCAAGAACAGAAGUUCCCAGAUGAAUACGGGAUGUAUGGGAAAUUGUUUUAAGAAUUAACCUUGGCAGCUCUCAGUCGGUUUAAAUCAACGCUUUUUUUUUCUUUCAAAUGUUUCACGAAGCUGGACCAGCCCAAGUGCGGGUGGUCGUUUCUGGUAGGGUCCGAGUGACGGAGCUGAGUGGGGGAACACGGGCUGGAGAACAGGAGAACCCCCCUUUUUUUGGCAGAGGAUUCCUACCUCGCGCUUGGUAAAGCUUUCGGGAAGAAUCCUGCUCGCCUUCAGUACUGCAGGCUCCGGAGAUGUUCUGUGAGCGGCUGGAACACGUCCUUGUUUUCCUGGAAUAAACGAGUUUCCGUUCUCGGCUUGUCCCUGCGAGCAGCGUCAGCCUCGUCUCUGAAAAACGUGAGGUGCAUCUGCGGCACGUGGUGGCACAGGCUGGGCUUCUCUCCAUCCAG